AGGACGAACGCUGGCGGCGUGCUUAACACAUGCAAGUCGAGCGGAAAGGCCCUUCGGGGUACUCGAGCGGCGAACGGGUGAGUAGCACGUGAGCAACCUGCCCUUAGCUCCGGGAUAGCUCCGGGAAACCGGAAUUAAUACCGGAUAUGACCUAGGCCGACAUCGGCUGUGGUGGAAAGUUUUUCGGCUGGGGAUGGACUCGCGGCCUAUCAGCUUGUUGGUGGGGUAAUGGCCUACCAAGGCGACGACGGGUAGCCGGCCUGAGAGGGCGACCGGCCACACUGGGACUGAGACACGGCCCAGACUCCUACGGGAGGCAGCAGUGGGGAAUCUUGCGCAAUGGGCGAAAGCCUGACGCAGCGACGCCGCGUGGGGGAUGAAGGCCUUCGGGUUGUAAACCCCUUUCAGCAGGGACGAAGCGAAAGUGACGGUACCUGCAGAAGAAGCGCCGGCUAACUACGCGCCAGCAGCCGC
rnacentral:rRNA from 1 species